rnacentral:lncRNA from 1 species
GUUAGUUCUUUACAACCCAGUUCUGAUGUCACUUCCUUUUAGUCAUUCAUCCGUCCCUCUGGGCUGGGUUAAUUCACUUCCUUCUCCAGGGCUUCGCUGAACUCUGCACAGACCUCAAUUACAACCCUUAUAAAGCUGGGUUGUGGUCGGGUGCGGUGGCUCAUGCCUGUAAUCCCAGCACUUGGGAGACUGAGGCAUGUGAGUCGCCUGAACCCGGGAGGCAGAGGUUGAAGUGAGCCGAGAUCGUGCCACUGCACUCCAGCCUGGGCGACAGAGCGAGACUCCGUCUCAAAAGUAAGUCCUUGUGCCCUUCGAGGGUGCAGACGGUGGUCUCUGCAUCUCCUUUGCUCCACGUGCCAGGCACAGGUGCCUGGGAACUACAGAAGAGGUUGAAUAGAAGGCUUAACAAUGAGUUUGGAAGUCAGGCACAGAGGGUUUGACUUCCGGGGGCACCCCUUGCCAGCUGUAUGACCCUGGCAAGUCACUCUUCCUUUCUGCGCCUUGGUCCCUGCAUCUAUAAAUUGCUGUAAGGAUGAAAUUACAUAAUUAUAGGUAACAAGAGGAUUCAGAAUCUGAGAGAUACUGCUUAAAAGGAAAAUGUCCUGGAGGGAUGCCAAACUGCACUCUCAAAGGUUUCGGCUGGAUGUGUGAUAUUGAUGGGGAAACCCAUUUCAGUGUCUCUAAGAAGGGGGUAGUGCUCCUCUUUCCAGGAUGUCUCUGGGGAAUCUAGAGCACCCCAAAGUGUGGUAUGCAUAGAAACAUUGCUGCUUAAGGUCUGAAUAUUUGUUCCUCAUCAAUUCAUGUGUUGAAAUUCUAACCUCUCCUGAAUGGGAUUAGUGCUCUUACACGAGAGGCCUGACAGAGACUCCUCACCCUUCCCACCAUGCGAAGACACAGUGAGAAGGCUCAGUCUAUGAACCAAAAUGUUGACUGUCACCAUUUACUCAAUCUGCUGUCGCCUUGAGCUUGGACUUCCCAGCCUCCAGAACUGUGAGAAAUAAAUUUCUGUUGCUUAUAAGACAACCAGUUUAUGACAUUUCGUUAUAGCAGCCUGAAUGGACUAAGACACCCUUCCCACCAUGUGAAGACAGAGUGAGAAGGUUCGGUCUAUGAACCAAAAACUGACCCUCACCAGUCAUUGAAUCUGCUGGUGCCUUGAUCUUGGACUUCCCAGCCUCCAGAACUGUGAGAAAUAAAUUUCUGUCGUUUAUAAGCCACCUAGUUUAUGAUACUUUGUUAUAGCAGCCUGAAUGGACUGAGACACCCACCUUAAAAAGACAGUACCUCAAAACCAUAAGGCAGGAUAACUGCUAGCCUGAUAUUAAUAGUUUUUAAUUUACUGCUAGCUUCAUUUUGCCAACUGAGUCAGAUAUUUUUUAAAAGUUCUGUUUGCAAUUAUUUUAACUUAGGAGAGGAGAAAAAGAGCAGGCAUCAGCCUGCAUAUGGGAUAUUUCUGAAAGGAUUUUGCUAUGAUUAGCUUGCCCUCAGGGAGAGUAAAAUGUGAGUUAUACAACCAUGCUUAUAUUUAGAUGUUGUUGAUGUUCUGGCUUAUAAUAUAUGAUGAGUUAGAAAUAAUUUUGUACUGAUCAGCCCAACCAGAAAAUAAACAUGCUUUAACUUGUAUUUAUUACUAAACUUGGUCUCCUAAAACAUGAUAAAGCAGUUGAGUCUAUAAUGACUGAGCCAUAGCUUCUCUGACUGACUCUAAGAGGGAAUGACGUUAAUAAGAGAUUAGCCCAUACCUCUAAUAGCCCUGGGAGAGAUGAACCCAAGACGGCAAGGCCCAGCUCUGAUGGAUGAAGGGACAGAGAACUAUAAGAAGACUGGGUUCCAUCUAGGAUGGGUGGCCUGUUGAGUGCCCAUCUUAUCUGCUUAGAUGAUGAUACUUGGAGACCUGACUCAAUUGUUGUGAAUGGUCUUUGUAAAAUUUUAUUUUAGAGACAGGGUCUUGCUAUGUUGCCCAGGCUGGUCUCAAACACCUGGGCUCAAGUGAUCCUCCUGCCUCAGCCUCCUGAGUAGCUGGAACUGCAAGUGAUUACUCUUAUUGAACAAACAAACAAAAACAAGUGCCUGUGACCUAAUAGAGAUGCAUGCAUAUGUUCACCAAAAGAUCUAGAAUGUCCACAACAGCCCUAUUUAUCAUCACCCCAAAUGGGGCACCCUGCACCUACCUCAACAGUAGAUGCAUACAUUUCUGUGUAUUUACACUGUGGAAUAUGACACAGCAAUGACAAUGAAUGAACUACAGCUAUACACAACAACAUGGAUGGCUAUCACAAACAUAAGGUAGAGCUAAAAGCGAAAAAAACCAGCAUAAAAGUGGGCAAAAGCCAUCUAUGUUGUUAAAAAUCAGGAUAGUGGCUGCCCUGGAAGGGGGCAUGAGGAGGCUUCAAGGUGCUUGUCAUGUUCUCUUUCUUCACU